UACGUAGGUGGCAAGCGUUAUCCGGAAUUAUUGGGCGUAAAGCGUGCGCAGGCGGCGGCUCAAGUCAGGUGUGAAAUCCCCGGGCUUAACCUGGGAAUUCGCGCUUGAAACUAGGUCGCUAGAGUGUGGCAGAGGGGGGGUGGAAGUUCCGACGUGUAGCAGUGAAAUGACGUAGAGAUGUGGAGGAACACCGAUGGCGAAGGCAGCCCCCUGGGUCAACACCUGGACGCUCAUGCACGAAGCGUGGGGAGCAAACAAGG
rnacentral:rRNA from 1 species